UUUCUGGUUCUCCUAAUCAACAAAAUUCUUCUCGUCUCUCUCUCCCUCUCUCCCUCUCUCUAAAGUCUAAACUCAUUCUUUGGUAUUUUUUCUGUUUAUCGUUGUUCUUUGAAGCCAAAAUGGUUCUGUAGUUUUCUUCUGGGUUCUGCUUCUAGGUUUUGAUUUUUACCUAACUUGAGUAGUGCCAUCUUGAUCUGGGGGCUGGAUUAUAACAUUACUACACACAUUUACAAGCACUCUCAAAAUAUGAUCACUACGGAUUUUAAAGGUAUAACCUGGGUUGGAGAUAUAUGCCAGAAGUUUGAAACCCUGUGCUUGGAGUUGGAAGAAGAUAUGUAUCGGGACACAGUUGAAUAUGUUGAAGACCAGGUGCAGACAGUUGGUGCAAGUGUCAAAAAGUUAUACUCUGAUGUCUUACAAGAUUUGACUUU